rnacentral:lncRNA from 10 species
UAGAGUACAUGAGCAUUACUUGGUUCAUAAACCAGAAAAGGUCACAUGGACGGAAGCAGCAGGAAGCAUUCGGGAUGGAGUGCGUGCCUAUACAGCUCUGCAUUAUCUUUCUCAUCUCUCUCCUGGAAAAUCAGUGCUGAUAAUGGAUGGAGCAAGUGCAUUUGGUACAAUAGCUAUUCAGUUAGCACAUCAUAGAGGAGCCAAAGUGAUUUCAACAGCAUGCAGCCUUGAAGAUAAGCAGUGCCUUGAAAGAUUCAGACCUCCCAUAGAGAACAGUACAAUUGCCUGAUUUCCUGUCCUUUACAGCCCGAGUGAUUGAUGUAUCUAAUGGGAAAGUUCAUGUUGCUGAAAGCUGUUUGGAAGAAACAGGUGGCCUGGGAGUAGAUAUUGUCCUAGAUGCUGGAGUGAGAUUAUAUAGUAAAGAUGAUGAACCAGCUGUAAAACUACAACUACUACCACAUAAACAUGAUAUCAUCACACUUCUUGGUGUUGGAGGCCACUGGGUAACAACAGAAGAAAACCUUCAGUUGGAUCCUCCAGAUAGCCACUGCCUUUUCCUCAAGGGAGCAACGUUAGCUUUCCUGAAUGAUGAAGUUUGGAAUUUGUCAAAUGUACAACAGGGAAAAUAUCUUUAGUAUUCCAAGUGCCUUGCAAGUAUUCAUUUAAACAUUAAAACAGCCUUUUGAGAUGUAAGUACUGUUAUCAUCCCCAUUUCACAGGUGAAGAAACAGAAGCACAGAGAUGUUGAUACAGACUCAAGGACGCAGCAAGUGGCGGAGCAAGAAUCACACUCAGGCAGUCUCUCUCCUUUCUGAACAGAGAUGAGCCCUAAGAUACCUGGAAGAUUUUGUUUUUAACCUCACAUUAAGGAAAGCACACAUCACCUUGAAAGAGCUAAACUUGACGUCCUACAGAAUUUCUCUAACUUAACAUGUUGAGUCUCUGAGAGUGCAAAACUUGAAACAAGAGAAAGUGGCCUGCCUGGCAUCCUCUGCUUAUUGAAUGGUUUUAUUUAAUUCUCCUUUACAUUGCCACCUUAACAAUCCUUCCAGCUACGUAUCUUAAAGGAUGUGAUGGAGAAGUUAUCAACUGGUGUUUUCAGACCUCAGUUGGAUGAACCCAUUCCACUGUAUGAGGCAAAAGUUUCCAUGGAAGCUGUUCAGAAAAAUCAAGGAAGAAAAAAGCAAGUUGUUCAAUUUUAAUUUUCUUCUUUCUCAGACCUCAGUCGGAUGAACAUAUUCCAGUAUUUGAAGCCAGAAUUUUCUUUGGAAAUUGUUGAGAAAAACCAAGGAAGAUAAAACAAGUUGCAUUUUUAAGCACGUUUCUCUGCUAAGACAAGAUGCUCAGUUGACACAUUUGAAAAGUGUUUGAAAAAUUCUUGUGCAAAUGAUCAAGAUAAUUCUAUAAUUAACAUCUUAAGGGAAUUUUUCUAAAAACCUUUUCAUUGUUUCUAUAUAUUUUGCCCCUGCUAUAAAAUUCCUUCCAUGAAGAAAACUGCUGCUUUCAGCAAAAGUCACACUACUCUUGAUAAAAGCUGUUGCAGGCCUUUGCUAAGC